rnacentral:lncRNA from 1 species
GUUUUUUUUCUUUUUGGAUCAGGUAAAUAAAUUAUAUUAAUCAAAAUUGUGGGUACAACUACUCUGGGGAAACCCGGGCAUUCAAAGUAAUACAUCACAAUAAUCAAAUGAUCCAAAGCAAGUAUCGGAACAUGAAUCAAACAUUACAAACUCAGCAAUCUAGUACACCAAUUGCCUAAACUCUCAGACCAUAAUAGUACAUAACCAUGCUGGAGUACUGCAGGCCACAUUUCGUUUCCCAAUUAAGUAAAAACCAAGUCUAAGAAAGACUCGUGUAUGGAUUUGUGAGGCUCUUAUCAAUGCCAUUCAAGACCUUGUGGCGAGUUAGCCAAAGCUGUCUCAUCCUUGGCCAUAUGCACAGCCGCGACCCUUUUUGGAACAACAAUGCAAUAAAACAUUACUACAUUAAUUAAGAGCAUCAAACUAAUUAUUGAGGGAAAGGCAGAAGA